CUAGAACUCGACAUGUAUAAUUCGACAGAUUUUCUCUUCCAACUGAUGUGAUGUAGCAAGAUGAGCAACAAAAGAAGAAUCCCAAGAUAAUCACGUAAUUAUGUUAGGAGAGAUUCUCAGUUCAAUCUAAUCCUGUCUAAACAGGCUGAAAGAAAUUAGUCACUCAGAAUUAUAUAAAAGGCUCUAUUGAGGGAAUGAUACAAGCUUGUUGUGCAAGCCAGAAAUCUGAAUGUAUUCUUUGACAUCUACCACUCUUUUUCACUCUCUCCUUAUGUGGAAAGUACUAUGAAUUUAUUCUCCAAUCAUCUUUUUAAUCUGGACACCUCUGGCCAUUUCUAUUGCCACAACCAUAGUUCAAUUUAUUGUCAUCUCCUAACUGAACUACUGUAAUCGUUUCCUAAUACUCACUCAGAUGAUCUUACUUUAUGUAAUAUCUACUUCACAUACGCAGCUGGAGUAAAAUGUUACAUUACAAAUCUGAUAUGAGAAAAUUACAUCUGGGAGCAUUUUAAUUUACUUUAAUAGAGAGAUUCUUUUGUUAUGCAAAUAUCCCUUCAAUGACCAAAUUGUCUUUCUAAGGGGAUGUCAUCAAGAGGGAAAAGAGCUUAAAUUUAUUGAACUAAAGAAAUAAAGCAAUUAUUCAAGUAAAUAAUUCUGUAUGAAGUGUUUAUGCAUAUGUCUUAUGUAAAAUAUACUUGAUUCUUUCAUAUGCACACUUGAGAUCUUUACGUUCUAAACACCCACAAGUACUCUGAGAGCCUUCAUUUCUUAUCCUGUAAAUAAGUGGGAUUUUUUUUUGUAAAACAAAAAAAUUAAAAACAAAAUUAAAAGCACUGUAGCACAUCAAUAUCAUUAAUACUUAAAAUGUCAUUUACAUUGGUAAGCAACCUGAAUAAUUAAAAAAUGCAAAUUUAGCCUACUUAGGAGUAAUAACUUUAUAUGUAAACCUUAUGAGCUGAAUUUCAUUACUUAUUCAUAAUAUACUAACAAUUAAAAAAACAAAGUAAUGUAACAAAAAUGUGAAAGUCAAUAUGUAAACAAGUGGCCCUAUGGCAAUUGAAGUGGAG
rnacentral:lncRNA from 1 species